UGGGGAAUUUUGGGCAAUGGGGGAAACCCUGAUCCAGCCAUCCCGCGUGUGCGAUGAAGGCCUUCGGGUUGUAAAGCACUUUUGGCAGGAAAGAAACGUCGCGGGUUAAUACCCCGCGAAACUGACGGUACCUGCAGAAUAAGCACCGGCUAACUACGUGCCAGCAGCCGCGGUAAUACGUAGGGUGCAAGCGUUAAUCGGAAUUACUGGGCGUAAAGCGUGCGCAGGCGGUUCGGAAAGAAAGAUGUGAAAUCCCAGAGCUUAACUUUGGAACUGCAUUUUUAACUACCGGGCUAGAGUGUGUCAGAGGGAGGUGGAAUUCCGCGUGUAGCAGUGAAAUGCGUAGAUAUGCGGAGGAACACCGAUGGCGAAGGCAGCCUCCUGGGAUAACACUGACGCUCAUGCACGAAAGCGUGGGGAGCAAACAGGAUUAGAUACCCUGGUAGUCCACGCCCUAAACGAUGUCAACUAGCUGUUGGGGCCUUCGGGCCUUGGUAGCGCAGCUAACGCGUGAAGUUGACCGCCUGGGGAGUACGGUCGCAAGAUUAAAACUUAAAUGAAUUGAC
rnacentral:rRNA from 1 species